AGCCCCCGGGGGGGGGGACUCUGUCUGAAUGAGGAGGAUUGGAAGUAGCCUCUGGACUGGAACUUUUAACAAAUAUUUCAGUUUGAAUCUCAGGAGACUAACGUUGGGGUGAUUGGGCUCUUUAGGAGAGGUGAAGACCCAGGGGGAAAUGGUUCUCUUUAGGAGAGGUGAAGGCCCAGGGGGAAAUGGUUCUCUUUAGGAGAGGUGAAGGCCCAGGGGGAAAUGGUUCUCUUUGGGAGAGGUGAAGGCCCAGGGGGAAAUGGUUCUCUUUAGGAGAGGUGAAGGCCCAGGGGGAAAUGGUUCUCUUUAGGAGAGGUGAAGGCCCAGGGGGAAAUGGUUCUCUUUAGGAGAGGUGAAGGCCCAGGGGGAAAUGGUUCUCUUUAGGAGAGGUGAAGGCCCAGGGGGAAAUGGUUCUCUUUAGGAGAGGUGAAGGCCCAGGGGGAAAUGGUUCUCUUUAGGAGAGGUGAAGGCCCAGGGGGAAAUGGUUCUCUUUAGGAGAGGUGAAGGCCCAGGGGGAAAUGGUUCUCUUUAGUUAUUAGAGCCUUAAGACUGUUUACAUUGCCUUUUGUCUACUCUUCUCCUACCACCCUUCACUGCUCUGUCAUUGGUGCACCGUCACAGCACCCACGAAAGCUCUCAUCUUCAGCCAUACUGCUAAUGAAGGACACUUUAAUAGAUUUCAUUAUCGGCCGUUAUCACAGGGAUGAAAGUUAACUUUCUGGAGUCAAUGGGGUGUAGGAGAAUGUGUAAUACCCAGGGAAGGCCAGAAGGUGAAGCGUCUACCGCCGCCACAAAUUGCAUCCAGAAUCCCAUUAGUUAGUUAAUUAACAUUGAGCGGAUCUUUAACUACCGGCAAUUGGGUUUCUGAUCUGAACCGGUGUGAUCAUCAGAUGGACUAAGUGCCAGGGCCAUUUGAGAGAGCGUCUCGUUCGAGCCAGGUUGAACUGAGAUUAGUAGAUGAAGAACCAUUUAGAAAGGUGUUUGUGUCAUCAAAGGCUGUGUCAAACACUUGAAGGGCAAACGCCAAGCGUCAAUUGGGUAGUUCACUCUGUAAACACAAACCUGCUUCUAUCUCAAGAUCAUCAGACUGUAAAAUAGCCAUCAUUAGGUCGGAUUCCACACGGUUACAUAACCCUGCACCUUGGAGGCUGCUGAGCCUAUAUACAUAGACUUGAAAUCACUGGCCACUUUAAUAAUGUUUACAUGUUUUUGCUUUACUCAUCUCAUAUAUACUGUAUUCUAUUCUACUGUGUUUUAGUCUGUCCCACUCUGACAUUGCUCGUCCUAAUAUGUAUAUAUUUCUUAAUUCCAUUCUUUUACUUUUAGAUUAGUGUGUAUUGUUAGAUAUUACUGCACUAGAAACACAAGCAUUUCUCUACACCCGCAAUAACAUCUGCUAAAUGUGUGUGUGACCAAUAGCAUUUUAUUUUAUUUUGAGUGCAUUUAACAAAGUCACAACACUCUUCGCAGAUUUAAAUAAAACUGUAUAGCAGUUUCCAUGGGAGAGUUUCAGUUUACUCAUCUGUCCACACCUGCAUUGAGACAGUAUUUAUUCAAAUAUCAGCCAAUGCUAAUAUAGAUGAAUGUCUGUGUACAUAUGGUUAAAUGUGGUCCCUGACAGUGCUGUUCUUUGUG